rnacentral:rRNA from 1 species
UGAUCCGGGUUGCGGACAGUGUCUGGUGGGUAGUUUGACUGGGGCGGUCUCCUCCUAAAGAGUAACGGAGGAGCACGAAGGUUGGCUAAUCCUGGUCGGACAUCAGGAGGUUAGUGCAAUGGCAUAAGCCAGCUUGACUGCGAGCGUGACGGCGCGAGCAGGUGCGAAAGCAGGUCAUAGUGAUCCGGUGGUUCUGAAUGGAAGGGCCAUCGCUCAACGGAUAAAAGGUACUCCGGGGAUAACAGGCUGAUACCGCCCAAGAGUUCAUAUCGACGGCGGUGUUUGGCACCUCGAUGUCGGCUCAUCACAUCCUGGGGCUGAAGUAGGUCCCAAGGGUAUGGCUGUUCGCCAUUUAAAGUGGUACGCGAGCUGGGUUUAGAACGUCGUGAGACAGUUCGGUCCCUAUCUGCCGUGGGCGCUGGAGAACUGAGGGGGGCUGCUCCUAGUACGAGAGGACCGGAGUGGACGCAUCACUGGUGUUCGGGUUGUCAUGCCAAUGGCACU